CAAAGUUAUUAUAUGGUUCAAAAUCAUAAAAUUGUGCAGUGUCUAUCCUGAUGUUGUUUGGAAUUGGGUAUUUAAAGCUCAAUAUUUGAACUUUCAGAUAUUGAAAUUAUGAAAAGUAACCAACUUUUGAGUUUUAAUUCAUUAUGAAAUAUGGAGGAUUGAAGAGACAAUUCAGUUCUACCUAGUUAUAAGGAGUGGGCA
rnacentral:misc_RNA from 1 species